UACGUAGGGUGCAAGCGUUGUCCGGAAUUAUUGGGCGUAAAGAGCUCGUAGGCGGUCUGUCGCGUCGGAUGUGAAAAUCCAGGGCUCAACCCUGGACCUGCAUUCGAUACGGGCAGACUAGAGUUCGGUAGGGGAGACUGGAAUUCCUGGUGUAGCGGUGAAAUGCGCAGAUAUCAGGAGGAACACCGGUGGCGAAGGCGGGUCUCUGGGCCGGUAUUGACGCUGAGGUGCGAAAGCGUGGGGAGCAAACAGG
rnacentral:rRNA from 1 species